GCCUCACGAGGACUUAACUGUCUCCCUUGUCCAAUCAGUGAAACUGAUCUCCUCGUGCAGAAGCGAGGAUCUUUUCAUAAGACGAGAAGACCCUAUGGAGCUUUAAACUAAAAUCAACUAUUAUUCUCCCAUCAUCCAAGGAAUCAACAAAUAACUGAAUAUGCUUGACUCAAGUUUUAGGUUGGGGCGACCAUGGAGAAAAAAAGAUCCUCCCUGAUGAUUACAAACCAAGAGCUACAACUCUAAGUAUAAAGAUUCUUAACUCUAAUUGACCCAUUUUUUGAUCAACGAACCAAGUUACCCUAGGGAUAACAGCGCAAUCCAUUUCAAGAGUCCCUAUCGACAAAUGGGUUUACGACCUCGAUGUUGGAUCAGGGCAUCCAAGUGGUGCAACCGCUACUAAUGGUUCGUUUGUUCAACGAUUAAAGCCCUACGUGAUCUGAGUUC
rnacentral:rRNA from 1 species